GCGAAGCGGCCGGCGGGGAGAAGGAAGGGGCCGUUCUGCACGGUUGGCGGCGGCGGCUGCUGGAGGAUCGUCGUCGCCGAUGGGGGGACUCUCCCUCUCACCCUCGCUGGCCCUGAUGGACGGGGAGGGGCUGUCAGUGCCAGCUGGCAAGUUGGGGGCUGAGAUGAGGUUUGAAGCGGAAAGCUUCUCCUUCAGUUCAUGCACAUCUUUGGAUGGUUUUGCAGCUUUCAAUUUUGGAUCAAGGCGAAGGACAAAGUCAAACAAUUUCCUAGUGGUUGUUGACAGCGCUUUUUCACGGGGUGCAUUUCCAGAGUUCUGCUGAAUUAGGCCACUAGGGGGUGGCAGUGAUUUCAGACAAAUUCACCUAGUUCUGUUUGUGAAGGGAGCCAAGGAAAGGGUCAGACAUCAGGAAAAGCAAGCCUGUGAGGUAGGCUAGGCUAGGCUGAGGGGGAGAGACUGGUCACCACUGAGAUCACCAGCAAGCUUCCAUGGCAGAAUGUAGAUUCAACCCCAGAUCCUGUCUGAUGCACCACCUAGCAGAAUAAAUCACCACCACCUACCAAUGGAAGCUAAUUCACAAGGUGGUAAGGGCAGAUCAGCAACUCACACAGAGACAGCCACCAUCCUUCAUGUGGCCCAGAAACCACACAGCACCCCAGUGAUUCCGGCCGUGAAAGCCUUCGACAACACAUAAUAACACAGUUCGACCUCAUGGAGAAGUGGUUGUAAUGAGACAACAUAAGUGGCUGUCAGGUUUCCUGGGGGAAUACAUCAGAGGUGCUUUUAGCAUGCUCAAACUCUGCAUAUACAUAACAAGCGUAAACUAUUUAGAUCCGGGCCCCUACAAAUGACCUAUUUAUCCUCAGCAGAGGCUUCUCCAAGUCUCAGUUCCCUCAUUAAUCCAUCUGUAUCUGUGCACAGACUCAUGUGUAUUUCUGAUGACGACUCCCCCCAUUAAUUCAUAGUGCGCCCUUUCUCGUAGAAGAGGUCACUAUCACAGCUCACCUUUUCUUAGGAUUACAGGAACUGGGCAGCUCUGCCUGCUGUUGAUUUACACUGCAUUUGAUGCCCUGAAACAAGGGUGUAGUAGAAAACUGGCGAAAAAAGAACAAUUGGGAUGCACUGAAAUUUGCAGCCUGGGUCACGUCACUUUCCAUCCCAUGAUAGAUAUUUAUUUUUUAUUUAUUUUUUCAUUAUAGGUGUUUGACUAAUUUAAAAAAAAUAGUGAUGAUAGGAAUUGUAAUUAAUACACAGGAUUUGGAUGUCUGAGGCUUACCAUCUGCUCAUAUGACCCUUGACCUUCCUGGCUGCUUAAAUUUGUUGGUGCAAAGGGGAGUGGGCUUGCAUUUGGGGCCUGGGAGGCAGUUAAUGCCUCUGUGAGAAAAAAGGUAGAUGACCCAGCCCUAAAAAAAGGCUGUGGUUCAUCCACUACUAAAGAAAUGUCCCUGGCUGCAGCCAGGAGAAAUAAACAGCUAUCAACAAUGAUCAAUUAUUGACUGUAUCAUUCCUGACCAAUGUAAUUGAAUAAGUGGUCGACCGGACAACUGCAGGAGUUCUUGAAUGAAGAGAACUGUCUGGAUUCUUUUUCGGGCCUGGACUUCUGGCUUCAGGCCUGGACAAGAGGUUGAGAAGCUUGGUCAUUCUAGUGUGCUGGAUAGAGGUCAUGACUCUACUGAUUCUCUUGGACCUCUCAGUUAUGGAUGCGCUGGGGGCAGGGGAUCUCCAGUCCUUCAGAUCUUGCUGCCUGCCACAGCUCCUGCAGCUGAUGGGAGAAAAUAUAUAUUUUAAAGUGCCAUAAGCACAUGGGGGUACAUCACUGCUGGGGAAAACCAAGACAUUGACUGCAGUGGGUUGUAAGGGACCAUAUCACUCCAGUCUUGGGCUAUCUACACUGGCUCCCAGUUUGUUUCUGGGCUCAAUUCAAGGGGCUGGUGCUGAUCUUUAAACCCCUACAUAGUUUGGAAGCAGCAUACCCAGUGGUGGGAUCCAAAAAUUUUAGUAACAGGUUCCCUCGCCAGCCCCCCCUCAGUAAAGGGGGCAGAGGUGUACCUAGGCAA